CAGCAGCCGCGGGAAUACGUAGGGUGCGAGCGUUAAUCGGAAUUACUGGGCGUAAAGCGUGCGCAGGCGGUUAUAUAAGACAGAUGUGAAAUCCCCGGGCUCAACCUGGGACCUGCAUUUGUGACUGUAUAGCUAGAGUACGGUAGAGGGGGAUGGAAUUUCGCGUGUAGCAGUGAAAUGCGUAGAUAUGCGGAGGAACACCGAUGGCGAAGGUAAUCCCCUGGACCUGUACUGACGCUCGUGCACGAAAGCGUGGGGAGCAAACAGGAUUAGAUACCCGAGUAGUCCCUGUCUCUUAUAC
rnacentral:rRNA from 1 species